rnacentral:lncRNA from 1 species
UGUGUGUGUAAAAAUCUGAGACCACAUGGCUGAAAGAAUCCAAGACUGAGUUCCUGAGGCCCAGUGCUGUCUGGGUUCUGUUUGCUUGGCUUAUGUGGCUCAGUGUUGGGUACCUAGCACCCAGAUGGGUCUUUGCCACAUCACAGAUGUCAUCCCAGGAUGGCUGAGAGGAGUGUGGGACCCAUGGGUGGUGUUGGUUAGCAGGGGGCUGGAGGACAGACUAAUCAAGGCGAGAGCAGGAGGGCUGACAUAAAACAGGCCUGAGCUGCCAUUGCCUCCCCUCCCCUCUGAGGCGGGGAGGCCGGACUGGCUGCCACAUUCUGUGUCCCUCAACAGGUUCCUUGCAGACAUGGUGGCUCUGCUGGGCCGGCCCAUUUUCUCUGGCUGUGGCUGGCUGUGGUGCUACAUCUCCCCAAUGGUGGUGCUAGGCCUGUUAACGUCCGUCUUCGUAUACCUUGUCAAGGGGCCCCUUGUCUACUUUGCCUGGGACUCAAGCACUUCCAAAGAGGUGGUUCGUGUUUUCCCAGAGUGGUCCAAGAUCCUGAUUGCUGGGCUGACUGUCUUUGUCCUCAUGCCCAUCCCUGCAUACUUUGUAUACUGCCUCACCCUGGGGAUUCCCUUCAGAUCUACACCAUCCAGUAAGCUACCACUGGGCAGUGGCCAGCUCCAGUCUACAAAGGAGGCCUCAAAGGAUAUUCUACAAGACUACAAAACAGAGUCCUAAUGAGCCUGUCAGCAGAGCCCCCAACUUCCCUCAUUAGGCCAGACAUCUUGCAUCUCUUACAGCAGACCAAAGAGGCAGCUCUGAACAGCAGCUUAAAGCGAUCACCAGCCUGGAUUGCUCAGGGCAGCAGAGCUGUGGGGCCCGCUGGCUUUGCAGCACAUUCCUGGCUGGGAUCUUCCAUUGUCAUACAGUGCAUCCCCAGACCCUCGCUCAGUGCACCGAGGUUGUCCUGCCAGCCCUGCUCCUGGUCUGAGAGUCUCCUGCACGGUGACGGGGAAGGGUGGGGCUGCUG